rnacentral:snRNA from 1 species
AUACUUACCUGGCAGGGGAGAUACCAUGAUCACGAAGGUGGUUUUCCCAGGGCGAGGCUCACCCAUUGCACUCCAGGUGUGCUGACUCCUGCGAUUUCCCCAAAUGUGGGAAACUCGACUGCAUAAUUUGUGGUAGUGGGGGACUGGUUCACGCUAACCCCUA